CCUACGGGAGGCAGCAGUGAGGAAUAUUGGUCAAUGGACGCAAGUCUGAACCAGCCAUGCCGCGUGCAGGAAGACGGCCCUCUGAGUUGUAAACUGCUUUUGUACGAGGGUAAACGCAGAUCCGAGUAUCUGUCUGAAAGUACCUUACGAAUAAAGAUCGGCUAACUCCGUGCCAGCCGCGGCGGUAAUACGGAGGAUACAAUCGUUACCCGGAUUUAUUGGGUUUAAAGGGUGCGUAGGCGGUCGGAUAAGUUAGAGGUGAAAUCCCGAGGCUCAACUUCGGAAUUGCAUCUGAUACUGUUAGGCUAGAGAGUAGUUGAGGGAGGCGGAAUGUAUGGUGUAGCGGUGAAAUGCGUAGAGAUCA
rnacentral:rRNA from 1 species